rnacentral:tmRNA from 1 species
GGGGAUGUUACGGAUUCGACGGGGGCAUUUGAGCUUAAUAAGCAAGCCGUGUUCGUCCACGUUAAAAGAUCGAGGAUUUAAUAAUUGGAAACACAAACUAUUCUUUAGCGGCUUAAUAUAAACCGUUGCCUAAUUACCCUAUCGCCCAUGUAGCGUAGUUGGGCUCACUUCAGUGGGAUACGACAGAAUGCGCCGUUUGAGCAAACUGUAAGAGACCUUCCAAACUCGCGGUUCCAUGCGCCUGUCUGUUAGCACGUGGUCCGUUAAAUCUGAUAAUAGACUAAGCUUGUAGAAAGUUAAGUGGUCGGUGUUUUCGGACGGGGGUUCGACUCCCCCCAUCUCCACCA